UUCUGCAGCCUCGGAGACCCGCGCCCAGCCCCGCCUCCGGGCUCGGUGACCCCAGCUCAGGAGACCCCAUCUAGCCGCCUCCUCUGGGCUCCGGGACCAUGGCCCCAGCCAGGCUUCCCGCCCCCUGCCAGGCCCUCCUCCCAGCUCGAAGACCCCAGCACAGCCCGCUCCUCCUGGCUCGGAAACACCCAGUCCCUCUGGGAGCUCUGAGACCCCCCCCCAGCCCGGCUGCCUCCUCUAGGUCCCGAUAACCCAAUCUCAGCGUUGCUCUUCAGCUCGGGGCCGCGGCGCCCCCUCCGCAGCACCGAACUGCCCCUCACACUGGUGUAGCCCCGACUCCGCCAUGAGAUCCCUCUGUUCUUCCUAGUGUGGUUUCGGUUUUCCUAGUCGCCCCCGAGUGCUAGAACCCGCUGGUGUCAAGAAGCAUUAAGGAGGUAAAAUCCUGCCCAGGCCCCACUGGGGUGUGGUUCUGUCUCUGGGACCCCAAAGCCUGCUGUGCUCUUGGCCUCCCAGCCUGCCUUGUCCCCACGUGCCUUCUCCCGGCCUGCCAUGGGCUUGGGGUGGGCUUCCUGCCGGGCAAGGUGCCCCUGGCUGGCUCAGUCUGGCCCUGAGGGCAAGGUCCCCUUCCCUCUCUUGCACCCAAGUCACCUGUGGCUUAUACUUCCCAUACAAAGAGGCUGAGAGGUCGGUGGGGUUGUAGGGCUAAGGUUGCCAGAGACCGUCUUCCUGGGCCAGAAGUGGGUGCCUCCCACCCCACCCCAAACCCAACUGAAAUCAAUCCAACCGCAGAGAGUGAAGAAAGGCUGCUCCCGUGGUGGGCCCAGGAGUCUCAUGCCUGUGUGCUGGGGAAGUUGGGGUGGGAGAUCUGUGGGGUUCUUUGGGCACCUGGGCAAGGCUCUGCCGCUCCGAGGCCUCCAGGAGAUGGAGCAGGCAGCUGAGAUCUGGGGCAUCCACCUCGGCCAGGCCCUGCAGGUCCCGUGCAGCCCCUGGCACGUCUCCCUUCUUGAGCCGGAGCAGGCCCAGCCGGGCCCGGGCUGCCUCUGACGUUGGGGCAGGGUGCAGGGCUUUUUCCAGGACCUGGCAUCCCGUGGGUGCCUGAGAAACAACGGCUGGAGGUGCAUGGACGAAUGAGGGGGCCAAGGGUCCAAGACCUGUUAAAGACCAAGGUCACCCCUUAGUUUCUCCUCCAUUGCAAGCAAAGAGCCAGUCGGGUAAAGCAGAGGAGAGCCUUUUGAACGCCAGGCCUCACACAGGGAGCAAGGCCAGAGGUCUCUUUCUUCCAUUUUUACAGAAAAGGAUACAGAGGUCAGAGGAGCAGGGACAGAAGCCCAGACCCUGUGUUUCCCACCUUGGGGCAGCCGCAUACCCCGUGCCAUGAGAAUGUCUGCCAGGAGGAGGUGCCAGUGCGGUUGCCCUGCGUCGAUUUUGAUCAGCGCCUCCCCCACAGCAAGGAGGCCCUGGGUGUCCUUGUCCUCGAGAGGUGCCCCGGUGUCCAGCAGCUGGCUCAGAAGGGCCCGGCAGCGGGAGUAGAGGCCCCGUGUGAUGAGGGCCUGGGCUUCCGGCUUCAGAGAGCGGAGCUCAGGGACCACGGUCCCGGGGCCGAGCUUCAGAGCAGAGACCAUGUCGUCCACGGCUUCCUGCAAGGAGGGAGGGAGGGCGGGUGCAGAGUUGUCCUAGGUAGAGAGACUGGGCAGAGGGUCGGAGUAGGAGUGCUGGCUCUGUCUUUCUUAUUCCCUGAUCUUCUCCUUGGGGUCCUAGAGGGUCUGAACACCCAGUUUCCUGCCCCUUCCCGCUUCCCUAUGGCUGCAGCCUCCUACCAUCCCUCCUGAUUCUGGUUAGCAUUUGAGGGGACUCAGCUCACUGACCUUGACCCUGAAAGUUGUCAGGCUCAGAACCCCUUUUCUGAGGCCAAACGCUGCUAAUUUCCAUCUCCUGAGGCUGCCUGCGGUCUGCGAGCUCUCCCUGGGUCCCUCGCUCUCCCAGCUUGUAGCUGGCUCCCUCCACGCCUGUCCCUCCCUACAGGGGCAUCUGUCACCUCACGGUGGGAGACGCUGGAGCUCUGUGGGUAUCCGGGUGCUCCUCCCAGUGCCUGUGGCCUUGGGGACGCCGGAAGGGUAGAAAGCCCAGUUACUGCCCUCCCACAACUCCCAGAAGCAGUGGAAGGAGAGUGCCCAGCCCAUCUGGUGCACGAUCCAAGGCAGGACACCGGGUGGCAGCCAGUGGGGGCAGAGCAAUUGCCUUUCGGAUUACAACACGUAGCCUUACAGCUAUGAACAAGCCCCCAGGUCCCAGGAUCUGCUGUGGUACCGUUCACUGAUGACAAAUCUCUCAGCUUCCAUUUGUCUAACGGGUCUUUAAUGUCGCCCUCGUUUCUGAAGGAUGUUUGAACAAGAUGGAUAAUUUUGGUUUAUACAGCUGUCAAGAGCCUGGAAUGGCACCCCACAUCCCCAGGUGAAUGUGUGACAGCCUGAAACAGCAUUCUCCAACCCCAGAUGAGGAUCUGACAACCUGGAAUAGAACCCCACACCCACAGGUAAGCAUCUGACAGCCUGGAACAGCACCACACAAUCCCCGGUGAGCACAGGUGAGCAUCUGACAGCCUGGAAGGGCAUCCCACAAACCCAAGUGAGCAUCUGACAGCCUGGAAUGGCACCCACACCCACAGGUGAGUGUGGGACAGACUGGAGCAGCAUUCUCCAGCCCCAGGUGAACUUGUGACAAUCCAAAACAGAACCCCACACACCCAGGUGAGCAUCUGACAGCCAAGGAUGGCACCCCACACACCUAGGGGAGCGUCUUACAGCCUGGAACAGCACCCGACACCCCCAGGUGAAAAUCUUACAGCCUGGAACAGCACCCUCCAUCCCCAGGUGAGCAUCUUCCAGCCUGAAACAGCACCCCACACCCCCAGGUGAGUGUCUUACAGCCUGGAAUGGUAUCCACACCCACAGGCGAGUGUGUGACAGCCUAGAACAGCAUUCUCCAACUCCAGGUGAGCUUGUGACAAUCUGGAACAGGACCCCACAACCCCAGGUGAGCAUCUGACAGCCUAAAACAGCACCCUCCACCCUCAGGUUAUCAUUUGACAGCCAGGAAUGACAAUCCACAUAAGCAUCUGACAGCCUAGAACGGCACCCCCACACUUAGGUGAGAAUCUGAAUGCCUGGAUCUACGCUCAAACCUUCAGGUGAGCAUCUGACAGCCUGGAACAGCAGUGCCCACACCCAGGUGAGCAUCUGAAACCCUCCAGCAGCACUCACCACCCCAAGGUGAGCAUCUGACAGCCUGGAACAGCAGUGCCCACACCCAGGUGAGCAUCUGAAACCCUGAGCAGCACUCACCACCCCAAGGUGAGCAUUUGAGAGCCUGGAACAGCACCGUUCAUGUUCAGGUGAGCAUCUGAUAGUUUUAUUUUGUUUUGAGAUGGAGUCUCGCUCUGUCGCCCAGGGUAGAGGGCAGUGGUGUGAUCUUGGCUCACCGCAACCACCGCCUCCCAGGUUUAAUUGAUUCUCCUGCCUCAGCCUCCUGAGUAGCUGCGACUACAGGCUGAUUUUUGUAUUUUUAGUAGAGAUGGGGUUUCACCAUGUUGACCAGGCUGGUCUUGAACUCCUGGCCUCAGGUGAUCCACCCACCUCGGCCUCCCAAAGUGCUGGGAUUACAAGCACGAGUCACCGCACCUGGCCGAUCAUCCGACAGUUUUAAAUGGCAACUCACACCCUCAGGUGAGUAUCUGACAGCCUGGAAUUGCACUCUACAUUCCCAGGUGAGCUUCUGACAGCCUGGAACAGCGCCUCACACCCACAGGUGAGAAUCUGACAGCCUAGAUUGACACCCCGACCCCCAGGUGAGCAUCUGAAACCCUGGAUCAGCACUCCCCCAUGCAAGGUGAGCAUCUGACAGCCUGGAACAACACCCAUACCCCCAGAUGAGUAUGUGACAGCCUAGAACGGCAUUCUCCAACCCCAGGUGAGUAUGUGACAACCGGAAACAGGACCCCACACUUCCAGGUGAGGAUCUGACAGCGUAAAACAGCACCCUACACCCCCAGGUGAGCAUCUGUCAGCCUGAAACAGCACCCCCACCCACAGGUGAGAAUCUGAAAAUCGGAAACUGCAUUGCGCACCCCCAGGUGAGCAUCCGACAGCAUGGAUUAGCACCCCCACCCCCAGGUGAGCAUCUGACAACAUGGAACAGCACAUCCCCUCAGGUGAGCAUUUGACAGCCUGGAGUAGCACCCCACACCCCCAAGUGAGCACCUGACAGCCUGGAACAGCACCCACAAUACCAGGUGAGUAUGUGAUAGCCUGAAAUAGCAUUUUCUGACCACAGAUGAAUAUCUGACAACCUGGAGCAGCAAUUCACACCCCUGGAUGAACCUCUGACAGCCUGAAAUGGGACCCACACCCACAGGUGAGCAGCUGACAAACUCGAACAGCACCUCAUACAGUCAAACGAGCAUCAGACAGCCUGGAAUGGCACCCCAAACCCCCAGGUGAGGAUCUGACAACCUGGAAUAGAGCUUCACACCCGCAGGUGAGCAUCUGACAGGCUGGAACAGCAGACCCACCACACGUUCAGGGGAGAACCGUACAGCCUGGAAUGGCAUCCACACCCACAGGGGUCAUCUGAUAGCCAAGAAUGGCACCACUACCCUGAGGUGAGAAUCUGACAGCCUGGAUCAGCGCUUCGACCUUCAGGUGAGCAUCUGAAACCCUGGAUCAGCACUCCCCCAUGCAAGGUGAGCAUCUGACAGUCAGGAACAGCACUUCACACCCCCAGGUGAGCCUCUGACAGCCUGAAACCGGACCCACACCACAGGUGAGCAGCUGACAGACUAGAACAGCACCCCACACCAUCAAGCGAGCAUCAGACAGCCUGGAAUGGCACCCCAAACCCCCAUGUGAGCAUCACACAGUCCAAAAUGGCACCCUGAACCCCCAAAUAAGCAUCUGCUAGCCUGAAACAGCACUCCACACCUUCAGGAGGGCAUCUGACAGCCUAGAACGGUACCCCACACCCCCAGGUAACCAUCAGAAGGCCUGGAACGGCACCCCAAACCCCCAGGUGAGCAUCUUGCAGCCUGGGACAGUACCGUCCACCAGCAGGUGAGCACUUCACAGCCUAAAACUGCACCUCACAGGCCAAGGGUGAGCAUCUGACUGCCUGGAACGGCACUCACACCCCCAGGUGAAUGUGUGACAGCCUGAAACAGCAUUCUCCAGUCCCAGGUGAGUGUGGGACAGACUGGAGCAGCAUUCUCCAGCCCCAGGUGAACUUGUGACAAUCCGAAACAGAACCCCACACACCCCGGUGAGCAUCUGACAGCCAAGGAUGGCACCCCACACACCCAGAUGAGCAUCUGAUCACCAAGGACAGCACCCCACACACCCAGGUGAGCAUCUGACAGCCUAGAAUGGCACCACCACACUUAGGUGAGAAUCUGACAGCCUGGAUCAGCACUUCAACCUUCAGGUGAGUGUCUGAGAGCCUGGAACAGUACCCCACACCCCCAGGUGAGUAUCUGACAGCUUGGAACAUCACCCUGCACCCCAGGAGAGCAUCUGCCAGCCUGGGAAGGCACCCCAACACCCAGGUGAGCAUCUGAAACCCUAUAGCACCACCCCCCCACCAACCUUCAGAUGAUUAUCUGACAGCCUAGAGCAGCACCCUCCACCCCUAGAUGAGCAUCUCACAGCCGGGAAAACACCCUCCACCACCAGGUGAUCUUCGGACAGCCUGGAAUGGUACCACCACUUUGAUGAGCCUCUGACGGACUCAAACAACAAUCACACCUUCAGGUGAGCAGCUGAGAACCUAAGUCGGCACCCUGCACUCAGGGGAGCAUCUGAAAGCCUGAAGCAGCACCUUCCACCUCUGAGUGAGCAUCUGAUGGUCUGGAACAGCACCCACAGCCCCAGGUGAGCAUCUGACCACAUGGAAUGGCAUCCUCACCUCCAGAUGAGCAUCCGACAGCCUGGAACAGCAUUCUCCAACCCCAGGUGAGCAUCUGACAGCCUGGAACAGCAUCCACAAACCCAGGUGAGCAUCUGGCACCCGGAAAUGGCAGCACACACCCCCACGUGGGCAUCAGACAGCAUUGAAUGGCACCCCACAUCUCCACGUGAGCAUCUGACAGGCCGGAACAGAACCCCACAUCCCCACGUAAGCAUCUGACAGGCUGGAACAGAACCACACAUCCCCACGUGAGCAUCUGACGGGCUGGAAUGGCACCCCACACCCCCAGGUGAGCAUCUGUAAACCUGAAACAGCACCCUACAUGCGCAGGGGAGCAUCUGACAGCCUGGAACGGCUCCCCUACACCCAGGUGUGCAUCUGCCAGCCUGAAACAGGACCCUCCACCACCAGAUGAGCAUCUGACAACCGGAAACUGCACCACACACCCCAAGGUGGGCAUCCAAUGGCAUGGAACAGCACCCCCACCCACAAGUGAUCUGACUGCCUGGAACAGCACUUCCCCUCAGGUGAGCAUCUGACAGCCUGGAACAGAACCCCACAACUUCAAAUAAGAAUUUGACAAGUGGGAAAAAGCUCCCCGCCCUCAGGUGAGCAUCUGACAGCCUGGAACAGCAGCUUACAUCCCCUGAGGAGCAUCUGACGGUCUGGAACAGCACCCUAAAACUUCAGGUGAGGAUCUGACAGCCUGGAAGAGCAGUGCCUACCCCCCAGUUAGCAUCUGACAGCACACAGCAGCGCUCCCAAUGCCAAGGUGACCAUCUGGCAGUGUGAAACAGCACCCCACACCCCCAGAUGAGCAUCUGAAAGCCUACAACAAGCCCCUGCCCGAGAUGAGCAUCUCACAGCCUGGAACUCCACGCCCACUGCCAGGUGAGCAUCUGACAGCCUGGAACAGCACCACACAACCCCAGAUGAGAAUCUGACAGCCUGGAACAGCACCCCACACCCCAGGCAAAAAUCUGACAGCAUGCAACAAGACCACUGCCCCCAGGUGAACAUUGGACAGCCUGGAACAGAACCCCAGUUCUCCCAGUAAGCAUCUGAAAGCACGGAACAGCACCCUCACCCCCAGGGGAGCAUCUGACAACCUAGAACAGUACCCUCACCCCGAGGUGGGCAUCUGGCAGCAUAAAAUAGCACCCCUAUUGGCAGAUGAGCAUCUGACAGCCUGGAACAGCACCCCAUACCCCCAGGUGAGCAUCUGACUGCCUGGAAGAAGCACCCCUGCAUGUUACCCAUGGUGAAACCAAGGCUCAGAGACAGGACAGGGUUGUUGGCCGGGAGGAGGGGCCUGCUGCUGAGCCCCAGCACUGACUCAGAGCUCACAGCCUCGAGCCCGUGCCAUGCCUCCUCUCAGGGUGAAGAGGCAGAGGGUAUGGGGGAGGCGCAGCAUCAGCCCACAUCCUGGAUGCGCAAGUUCACAGGCAUGACGGGGCGAGGGGCUGCUGCUCCUACUGUCACUCCCACGUGCUAGCCCUCUGACGUCCUGGCUGACUUUCCCUGCCUCUGGUCCUGCGGCCCUGGACAGAGAGGGAGGAGGGGACAGGAUCCUGUGGUACCCCUUGGAGGAGGUUCUGGCACCUGUAGGCAGUUUCCAAGGAUCCCUUGUGGCCACAUCCAGCUGUUAAAUGGGCAUGUCCCUGGCAGCCACAGAUGUCUUUCCAGUGCAGGCAAGGGCAGGCAGAGAGCUGGCUCCCAGCCCCAAGUGCAUGUCUCCCUCCCUGGGGCCCAGGCUGGCAUGGAAGUCAGGCCUGCCAGUGGGCUUGGGGGAAACUUGGUGCCCUGGUCCAGCAGCCUGCCCUGCAGCAGCAAGCAUGGCCUCUGGAGGCUGUCGUCCUCCUGGCCUCUAGGAUUGCUUUUCCUUGCUUCCUAGAACUCCAGCCCUUAAGAAAAUCAGAAGCCCUGGCAGGCACAUUGCCUCUGUGCUGUGCUUUUACCCAGCGAAGCAUCAGGGCAGAUGGCCAAUUUCAACACUGCUCUUGGCUGGGAAGUGCCCUCGUCUCUGGCAGCCCCCACAGAGAAAGUGCAGGGCCCCAGGGCUGUGGCUGCCUCAGGGCAGGUCUCCCUUGUGACAGCCUUUUGUCAUGGGCCUGGGAGUGGACCCCUCCCAUCCCUGCCCUGCAUGCUGUUGAGUAGACAGCUCAGGCUAGUACCCAAGAGGGUGGCCAGCAGAUCACAGGGGAUGUCCCUUUUGUCUUGGCUGUUUAUGGGCUGGAGGAACCACUGUUCAGCCACAUCUCCUCUCCUGCCCCACCUGCAUUCCCCCGAGGUUGAUGGGAGCACUGUGGGGGGAGAUAGGCAGGGGAGGGGCCAGGCAGCACCUGGGCACAUCCCCAGGGUGCCUCCUCUGAUCCCCAGGAGGGGCAGCACCCACCCUCCUCUUUUUCCAGUUUGUUUUUUAUUGUGGUUAAAUAUACACAACGUAAAAUUUACCAUCUUAA